rnacentral:rRNA from 1 species
AAGUCGUAACAAGGUUUCCGUAGGUGAACCUGCGGAAGGAUCAUUACAGUAUUGUUUAGGGGGGACUGCUGCUGGCUCCUAGGAGCAUGUGCGCGUCUUCCUUUCUAAUAUUCACACCCGUGCACCUAUGGAUGCGGUCCUAUUAUAUAUUAGGACCUUGUCCAUUAUCAUACAUAUAAAGCCUGUCUCUAAUGCAUGUAUUGACGUUCUAAGGAGCGGAUUUAUAAAUACAACUUUCAACAACGGAUCUCUUGGCUUUCGCAUCGAUGAAGAACGCCGCGAAAGUGCGAAACGUAAUGUGAAUUGCAGAAUUCAGUGAAUCAUCGAAUCUUUGAACGCAUCUUGCGCUCCUUGGUAUUCCGAGGAGCAUGCCUGUUUGAGUGUCGCGACCCUCCUCAAUCCCUUCUCCCUCUUCUGUGGGGGGUUUUGGGCUUGGACUUUGGACGUCUGCUGUGGGGAACUAGUCCUCUCCUAUCGGCUCGUCUUGAAAUGNAUUAGCUGUGAAACUUGUUGUUAGAACGGUGUGAUAAGAAUACAUUUUUCUGUAGCGUCGUCUCUAAUCAAGGGCACUGCUUCUAAUCGUCCUUUGGACAAUUCAUGUCAUCUGACCUCAAAUCAGGUAGGACUACCCGCUGAACUUAAGCAUAUCAAUAAGCGGAGGAAAAGAAACUAACAAGGAUUCCCCUAGUAACGGCGAGUGAAGCGGGAAGAGCUCAAAUUUGUAAUCUGGCGGCNUCUGGCCGUCCGAGUUGUAGUCUGGAGAAGUGUUUUCUGUGCCGGACCGUGUACAAGUCCCUUGGAACAGGGCGUCAUAGAGGGUGAGAAUCCCGUCUCUGACACGGACUACCGGUGCUUUGUGAUGCGCUCUCGAAGAGUCGAGUUGUUUGGGAAUGCAGCUCAAAAUGGGUGGUAAAUUCCAUCUAAAGCUAAAUAUUGGCGAAAGACCGAUAGCGAACAAGUACCGUGAGGGAAAGAUGAAAAGCACUUUGGAAAGAGAGUUAAACAGUACGUGAAAUUGUUGAAAGGGAAACGCUUGAAGUCAGUCGCGUCGGGUGGGACUCAGCCUUACUUCUGUAUGGUGCAUUUCCUAUUUGACGGGCCAGCAUCGAUUUCGGUCACUGGAGAAAGGUGGGGGGAACGUGGCACCCUCGGGUGUGUUAUAGCCCUCUAUCGUAUGCAGUGAUUGGGAUCGAGGAUCGCAGCACGCCUUAACGGUCGGGGUUCGCCCACGUAACGUGCUUAGGAUGCUGGCGUAAUGGCUUUAAGCGACC